rnacentral:rRNA from 1 species
GACGAACGCUGGCGGCGUGCCCAAUACAUGCAAGUAGAACGCUGAAGCGAGGAGCUUACUCUUCUUGGAUGAGUUGCGAACGGGUGAGUAACGCGUAGGUAACCUGCCUUGUAGCGGGGGAUAACUAUUGGAAACGAUAGCUAAUACCGCAUAACAAUGGAUGACACAUGUCAUUUAUUUGAAAGGGGCAAUUGCUCCACUACAAGAUGGACCUGCGUUGUAUUAGCUAGUAGGUGAGGUAAUGGCUCACCUAGGCGACGAUACAUAGCCGACCUGAGAGGGUGAUCGGCCACACUGGGACUGAGACACGGCCCAGACUCCUACGGAAGGCAGCAGUAGGGAAUCUUCGGCAAUGGGGGCAACCCUGACCGAGCAACGCCGCGUGAGUGAAGAAGGUUUUCGGAUCGUAAAGCUCUGUUGUAAGUCAAGAACGGGUGUGAGAGUGGAAAGUUCACACUGUGACGGUAGCUUACCAGAAAGGGACGGCUAACUACGUG